CCCAGCUGAACCAAGAAACUAAGAAACAGGCUAAGAGGGAGCCCAGUUUAAAUGGAAUGGAGGGGGAAGCAAAUCUCUAAUGAGGAGGCAUCCACCAGCUGGAACGAUCAAAGAAAGGUCCUGUGACUCUUCCGGAAGGACUGGGUUGAUGACGGAGACCACUGAGCCCCAGCUGGACGUCACGGCAGCCAGUGCUGGAGGUGGAGGUGGCUUUGCAUCCUGUUUUGAAGGCGGACUUAUGGGCCUCUUUGAUGCAGAGGACAGGUGUCACAGAGCAAGGGCGCCUUAAAGAUGAUCCUCAAGCUUUGAGAGGAAGACAAGCAAGAGGAGAAUUGGCCGAGGAAGACCGAGUGUUCAGUUUCUUUUGAAUGUGGUGCAUCAGAAAGAGACAUGAAACCAGCAUUCAGACCCUGUCAUUGCCAAUUAUUACGUGGCCUUGGGAAUGUGAUAAUUUUACAGACAAAGAAAUAGGUAAAAAUUGCUGAAGUAAAUCGGUCUGUGGUAGCGAGAGUACACCAAGAGGAGCUGCUUGUUACCAGCCUGCUCUGCUGUGCAGAUUUCCCCAGCCCAGCCCUGGCUGACACGGACUCGGCCAGUUCAUUUCUGAAACAUGAGGCAAAGCCUUAUGUGAUCAAGUGGCUCAUUAGAAAAGAUCAGGACACUUCUUUUAGAGAAGAUAAAGUACGCUUUAAAAAUCAGAACUAAUGUCCUGUAUUUGAAAAGGAGAUCAAAGUGGACAUCACGUCCAGAAGAUCCUUUGUAUGUAUUAUCCUUCUGUAUCAGAAGUGACUUUCAUUGACAUUCAUGUAUCUACUAGUGAUAGAUUAAACAGUUAAACCACCACAUUCAUUCAUGUUGAAUGAAUUAAUUCAUUCAAUAUAAUUAUUUGAUGACUUAUGUGAAAGGUAACAUCAACCCAAUACUUCAUAUAGUGUCUUUUAUCAAUACAUUUGUCUUUAAAAUGCAACUACUAAGGCAGUAAUUUCAAGCAAGAAUCGUGAUACCUUAUCUGUUGUCU